GGAGUUUGGACCGUGUCUCAGUUCCAAUGUGGCCGAUCACCCUCUCAGGUCGGCUACUGAUCGUUGCCUUGGUGAGCCGUUACCUCACCAACUAGCUAAUCAGACGCAGGCCCAUCCUUAGCCGAUAAAUCUUUGACGGAUAUAACAUGUGAUACAUCCGUAUUAUGGGGUUUUAAUCAUCGUUUCCAAUGGCUAUCCCCCUGCUAAGGGCAGGUUGCCUACGCGUUACUCACCCGUCCGCCGCUUUCCACUUAAAAGAUUCUACCGAAGUUUCAUCACAUAAGCUUCUCGCUCGACUUGCAUGUGUUAGGCACGCCGCCAGCGUUCAUC
rnacentral:rRNA from 1 species